ACGGCCAUACCAUGCUGAAUACACCGGUUCCCGUCUGAUCUCAGAAAUUAAGUAUCAUAGGUCGCGGUCAGUACUUGGGAAGGUGACCACCUGGGAACACCGCGAGC